AAUCUAUUCUUGCAUUUUCUUAAAAGAACAUAAUUCUAUUGUAAAUUAAAGCAUAGCAAUCAAAUUAUAUAUUUUUCUGAGGUUUUCCAAAAGUAUCUUUUAAAAAUUAUUGUAAGUGUAAUUGAACUUAACUUUCUCCAAUAUUUUUAUAUUAAGUCCCAUGCUAAAUUAAAAUCAGAUAAGCAUCUUUAAGCAAACCUUUUUUAUUUUCUAGCAAGUGUGUGCUUCUAUUUUUGGAAUUGUUAAUACAAUUUUAAAAAUUAGGAAAAAAAAAGAAAGAAAUACAAAUGACACAGUCACUUUGCCUAAGUGUGCAUAUUUUGCCAGUGGCCUUCAGAGGGGCGUUGGUUUUUGAUCUUUAAAAUUAUGGUUGCUAUCCUUUUACAUAUUUCAUGUUCUAAAAAUACUUUCACAGAAUAGACCUUCUCAUUAUUUCUUUCUUAAUCGUUUUCUUGUUUUAGUGCAAGGAAAAAUUAAAACAGAAAUGAAAAAUGAAGAAGUUGGUUAUACCAGAAAUCACUGAAGCAGGAAAUGUUCAUCGUAAAAUGAGAGCUAAAAGACUCUGUUUCAGUGGCUGAGACUGACAGCUCUGUGUUUCUGCUGUUGCACGUGGGAGAAAACUGGAUGCAAAAUGUAAAAAGACAAGGGAGAUUUUGUGCAACUCCAAUAUGCAUAUAAAGGUAUCUUGAAAUAAAAAACUUUUUAACAGCUAUUCA
rnacentral:lncRNA from 1 species